UACGAAGGGUGCAAGCGUUACUCGGAAUUACUGGGCGUAAAGCGUGCGUAGGUGGUUCGUUAAGUCUGAUGUGAAAGCCCCGGGCUCAACCCGGGAACUGCGUUUGAAACUGGCAGGCUAGAGUUUGGCAGAGGGGGGUGGAAUUCCACGUGUAGCAGUGAAAUGCGUAGAGAUGUGGAGGAACACCGAUGGCGAAGGCAGCCCCCUGGGCCAAAACUGACGCUCAGGCACGAAAGCGUGGGGAGCAAACAGG
rnacentral:rRNA from 1 species